AGUAUAGCAUUAUACCGUGAAACUGCGAAUGGCUCAUUAAAUCAGUUAUCGUUUAUUUGAUAGUACCUUACUACUUGGAUAACCGUGGUAAUUCUAGAGCUAAUACAUGCUAAAAACCCCAACUUCGGGAGGGGUGUAUUUAUUAGAUAAAAAACCAAUGCCCUUCGGGGCUCUUUGGUGAUUCAUGAUAACUUAACGGAUCGCAUGGCCUUGCGCCGGCGACGGUUCAUUCAAAUUUCUGCCCUAUCAACUUUCGAUGGUAAGGUAUUGGCUUACCAUGGUUUCAACGGGUAACGGGGAAUUAGGGUUCGAUUCCGGAGAGGGAGCCUGAGAAACGGCUACCACAUCCAAGGAAGGCAGCAGGCGCGCAAAUUACCCAAUCCCGACACGGGGAGGUAGUGACAAUAAAUACUGAUACAGGGCUCUUUUGGGUCUUGUAAUUGGAAUGAGUACAAUUUAAACCCCUUAACGAGGAACAAUUGGAGGGCAAGUCUGGUGCCAGCAGCCGCGGUAAUUCCAGCUCCAAUAGCGUAUAUUAAAGUUGUUGCAGUUAAAAAGCUCGUAGUUGAAACUUGGGCCUGGCUGGCCGGUCCGCCUCACCGCGUGUACUGGUCCGGCCGGGCCUUUCCUUCUGGAGAGCCUCAUGCCCUUCACUGGGUGUGUUGGGGAACCAGGACUUUUACUUUGAAAAAAUUAGAGUGUUCAAAGCAGGCCUUUGCUCGAAUACGUUAGCAUGGAAUAAUAGAAUAGGACGUGCGAUCCUAUUUUGUUGGUUUCUAGGACCGCCGUAAUGAUUAAUAGGGAUAGUCGGGGGCAUCAGUAUUCAAUUGUCAGAGGUGAAAUUCUUGGAUUUAUUGAAGACUAACUACUGCGAAAGCAUUUGCCAAGGAUGUUUUCAUUAAUCAGUGAACGAAAGUUAGGGGAUCGAAGACGAUCAGAUACCGUCGUAGUCUUAACCGUAAACUAUGCCGACUAGGGAUCGGGCGAUGUUAUUAUUUUGACUCGCUCGGCACCUUACGAGAAAUCAAAG
rnacentral:rRNA from 1 species